AUUGAACGCUAGCGGGAUGCUUUACACAUGCAAGUCGAACGAGUGGCGGACGGGUGAGUAAUAUAUCGGAACGUGCCCAGUAGCGGGGGAUAACUACUCGAAAGUGUAGCUAAUACCGCAUACUAUUGGAUCGGCCCAUGUGGGAUUAGCUAGUUGGUGGGGUAAAGGCUCACCAAGGCAACGAUCCGUAGCUGGUUUGAGAGGACGACCAGCCACACUGGGACUGAGACACGGCCCAGACUCCUACGGGAGGCAGCAGUGGGGAAUAUUGCACAAUGGGGGAAACCCUGAUGCAGCCAUGCCGCGUGUAUGAGAAGGCCUUCGGGUUGUAAAGUUCUUUUGGUAGAGAGGCGGUAACUACAGAAGAAGCACCGGCUAACUACGUGCCAGCAGCCGCGGUAAUUC
rnacentral:rRNA from 1 species